ACGCAUUAAGUAUUCCGCCUGGGGAGUACGGUCGCAAGAUUAAAACUCAAAGGAAUUGACGGGGGCCCGCACAAGCAGCGGAGCAUGUGGUUUAAUUCGAAGCAACGCGAAGAACCUUACCUAGACUUGACAUCUCCUGAAUUACUCUUAAUCGAGGAAGUCCCUUCGGGGACAGGAAGACAGGUGGUGCAUGGUUGUCGUCAGCUCGUGUCGUGAGAUGUUGGGUUAAGUCCCGCAACGAGCGCAACCCUUAUUGUUAGUUGCUACCAUUUAGUUGAGCACUCUAGCGAGACUGCCCGGGUUAACCGGGAGGAAGGUGGGGAUGACGUCAAAUCAUCAUGCCCCUUAUGUCUAGGGCUACACACGUGCUACAAUGGCAAGUACAAAGAGAAGCAAGACCGCGAGGUGGAGCAAAACUCAAAAACUUGUCUCA
rnacentral:rRNA from 1 species